CUUUCCUUGAUGACGACUGGCGCACGGGUGAGUAACGCGUAUCCAACCUUCCCAUAACUACGGGAUAACCCGUUGAAAGACGGCCUAAUACCGUAUGACAUCGUUUGCUGACAUCAAAUAACGAUUAAAGGUUUAGCGGUUAUGGAUGGGGAUGCGUCUGAUUAGCUUGUUGGCGGGGUAACGGCCCACCAAGGCAACGAUCAGUAGGGGUUCUGAGAGGAAGGUCCCCCACAUUGGAACUGAGACACGGUCCAAACUCCUACGGGAGGCAGCAGCC
rnacentral:rRNA from 1 species